UACGUAGGGUGCAAGCGUUAAUCGGAAUUACUGGGCGUAAAGCGUGCGCAGGCGGUUAUGCAAGACAGAUGUGAAAUCCCCGGGCUCAACUGGGGAGGGUCAUUCGAUACUGAUCGACUCGAAGGCAGGAGAGGGUAGUGGAAUUCCCGGUGUAGUGGUGAAAUGCGUAGAUAUCGGGAGGAACACCAGUGGCGAAGGCGACUACCUGGCCUGUUCUUGACGCUGAGGCGCGAAAGCUAGGGGAGCAAACGGG
rnacentral:rRNA from 1 species